rnacentral:rRNA from 1 species
UACGGGGGGGGCAAGCGUUGUUCGGAAUUACUGGGCGUAAAGGGCUCGUAGGCGGCCAACUAAGUCAGACGUGAAAUCCCACGGCUCAACCGUGGAACUGCUUGGUAUACUAGUUUUCUUGAGCCACUUAGGGGCUGUCGGAACAAGCGGUGGAGCGGUGAAAUGCGUAGAUAUCGCUUGGAACGCCAAAGGUGAAAACAGACAGCUGGGAGUGUGCUGACGCUGAGACACGAAAGCCAGGGGAGCGAACGGG